GACGAACGCUGGCGGCGUGCUUAACACAUGCAAGUCGAACGAUGAAGCCGGAGCUUGCUCUGGUGGAUUAGUGGCGAACGGGUGAGUAACACGUGAGUAACCUGCCCUUGACUCUGGGAUAAGCGUUGGAAACGACGUCUAAUACCGGAUACGAGCUAGGACCGCAUGGUCACUAGCUGGAAAGAAUUUCGGUCAAGGAUGGACUCGCGGCCUAUCAGUUAGUUGGUGAGGUAACGGCUCACCAAGACGACGACGGGUAGCCGGCCUGAGAGGGUGACCGGCCACACUGGGACUGAGACACGGCCCAGACUCCUACGGGAGGCAGCAGUGGGGAAUAUUGCACAAUGGGCGCAAGCCUGAUGCAGCAACGCCGCGUGAGGGACGACGGCCUUCGGGUUGUAAACCUCUUUUAGCAGGGAAGAAGCGCAAGUGACGGUACCUGCAGAAAAAGCACCGGCUAACUACGUGCCAGCAGCCGCCGUAAAAC
rnacentral:rRNA from 1 species